rnacentral:rRNA from 1 species
AACGCGAAGAACCUUACCAGCUCUUGACAUGUCUCGUAUGGGCCGGGGAGACCCGGUUCUUCAGUUCGGCUGGCGGGAACACAGGUGCUGCAUGGCUGUCGUCAGCUCGUGUCGUGAGAUGUUGGGUUAAGUCCCGCAACGAGCGCAACCCUCAUCCUCAGUUGCCAUCAGGUUAAGCUGGGCACUCUGAGGAAACUGCCGGUGACAAGCCGGAGGAAGGCGGGGAUGACGUCAAGUCCUCAUGGCCUUUAUGUCCAGGGCUACACACGUGCUACAAUGGCCGGUAUAAACCGCUGCAAACCCGCGAGGGGGAGCUAAUCGGAAAAAGCCGGCCUCAGUUCGGAUCGCAGUCUGCAACUCGACUGCGUGAAGCUGGAAUCGCUAGUAAUCGCAGAUCAGAAUGCUGCGGUGAAUACGUUCCCGGGCCUUGUACACACCGACUGUAC